AGAAUUUAAUGUACUGCAGAACUCGAAUAUACUUCAUUUUUGACCAACUGUGAAAAAUCACCUCCCUCUCUCCUCUUCAUCCUUCUUGGUUACACUUUUCCCACAGAAUAAUUUCACAUAUUCAGCUCUCUUGUACAGUUAUCAGGCUAAGAAGUUAGCAAAAUCUGACCAUGAUAUUAAGCUGUGUCGACAAAGAAAUAAUUACACCAUAACAGGAUGGACAGCACACUGCAAGUGUUCCACAUCAGUAUCAACAGGUAAGAUUUCUUUUUCUUCCUUUUUACUAAAGUAAUAAAAAAUUACCAAAACAAAUAAACA
rnacentral:lncRNA from 1 species